GAACAAAUGAUUUUUAUUUUCCUUGUUUCCUGUAAUUCAUAAAAUUGUUCACAAUCAUUUGAACGGUAAGUUUGGUUUUUAAUUUUUCCAAUUCCAUAAAUCUGAAGUAUUUAAAAUGAAUAUACAUUUAGGAGGGGCGUAAAGGGGUAUCUGCAUGGAAGAACGUGAAAUAAAAUUGCCGUUUCACAAUGAACGAACAAUUAAAAACUUCUUGCACGUUCAUCUUUUUACCGAUUUCAUGAAACACGGUGAAUAACGAACCAUUUUCACGGCUGCUCGUGAAAUAAAAAUGGCAAAACACGUUUCACGUUUUUUACCACCCUCAUUAAGUACAAAGGAUAACAAUUCAACCAUGUUUUAGUUGGGGCAAUUGGAUCAAAGUGUUAGCUGAUAUUAAAGUUAUUCAAGUUUAUUUUUCAACAGACUUUUGUACAACGAUGACUUAAUAUAAUUUAGUUAUGUAUAACAAUCUUAGUUUCUCAGAACAAUUAUUAUGUGAAAUUUUCAAAUAUUUGGACUUUUAUGGAGUAAAAAUUUAAAAUGUAUUAUGCAUACUUACACGAAAUGAUUUGGUUUUUAACGAUCGUCAAUGAAUUAUAUUACAUCUGGUAAGUUAAUUUUUAAGGGCAUUAGCUGUCAAAUUUAUUUAAACCGAAUUGAUCAAAAUUCUCCCAUUUGAUUUAUACAUACUGAAAAGUAUAUCUAAAUUAGACAAAGUCUAAAAUAAACAACUAACAAUGCAUGGACUGGAUAAUAUGUAUCAGGCUUUCUUGUGUUUUAGUCUAGACGACCUCUUAUGACCUCCGACGACUGCUGACAUGUUCAAGUGGAUUUUUUUUUUCAAAAUAUGCCCUUUAUAUUUAGUUUGUGAACCAAGGCUCUGUGUUGAAUACAGUACUUUGACUUAUAAUGGUUUACUUUUAUAAACUGUGACUUGGAUGGAGAGUUGUCUCAUUUACACUCAUACCACAUCUUCUUAUAACUAAUCACCGUUUUUCUUUUUCUUGUUCAAAAUAACAUAUUAUUGGGAAAUUAUAUAUGGUUACACUGCAUGCAUUUUGAAAUGUAAAAUGAAUGUUUAUCUUCGUGAUCUAUUUCUGUUUUCUUUUUAGACUCGAUUUAAUGAGAGAGUUAUCAUGAAUGUUUCGGAAGCACCAAUUACUUUGGAGACCUUGAAUACUGAGGAAUUGAUGGAACGUAUUCCGACAAUAGUUUAUUUAUCAUUGGUCAUGGUUAUUGGGAUACCUGGGAAUACUUUGGUAAUUCUGAUAUAUUUCGGAUCGCUAUGGAAACUCGAAGGUGCACACUGGACUUUUAUUCGUACCAUUACUAUUGUAGAUUUACUUAUGUGCAUAAUAAAUAUCCCUUUUGAAUUUUACCAACAGACACACCAGUUAACAUUUUAUGCGGAAAGCGCAUGUAGGUCGUUCAAAGUAAUUAGUGUUCAUCUAUCUGUAAUGGCUUCACUGCUGCUAGUGAUGAUGUCCGCUAAUAGACUGUAUAGAAUAUGGUGGCCAUUAAAAGUUCCCUUAUCGUCACGUCAAGCUUUUGUUAGUGUCAUUAUUCUUGGGAUCGUUGUAACAACAGUUUCCUGG
rnacentral:lncRNA from 1 species